rnacentral:rRNA from 1 species
AAUCAACGCUGGCGGCGUGCCUCAGACAUGCAAGUCGAACGCGAAAGUUCCCUUCGGGGAAUAAGUAGAGUGGCGCACGGGUGAGUAACACGUAGGUAAUCUACCUUCGGGUGGGGAAUAACCCAGGGAAACUUGGGCUAACACCGCAUGAUGCAGCGGCACCACAUGGUGACAGUUGUUAAAGCGGGGGAUUUUCGGACCUCGCGCCUGAAGAGGAGCCUGCGGCGGAUUAGCUAGNGGGUCGAGGUAACGGCUCACCAAGGUCACGAUCCGUAGCCGGCCUGAGAGGGCGGUCGGCCACACUGACACUGACAUACGGGUCGAG